rnacentral:lncRNA from 1 species
UAUCCAUCUUCAUCUCGGCAUGAAAAGUUUUCUCUUCUAUUGUUUUUCCUCACAUAGCACCAGAUUACCAUGGAGAAGACUAUGAUAUCAUAAGAAAUGAAUGAGCAUGUUUCUCACCAUGGGUGAAAUAUACAUUCCAGACCUAAUAAAGUCAGAAAUCAUGUAAUGGGCCUGGUAAAAUGAGCUGCUUAGUUCGUGUAAAUAUAAAUGGUUCUUUAGUGCUCUACUUCAACUAAGCAAGUUCUUAAGCACUUUGCUGAGUAUGGAGAGAGUCAUCAAUCUCAUGAGAGUCAUCUUGCCAUCUGUACCAGCAUUGCUCCAGGCUUCCAUAUGAAAGUCCAAUCUGGCGGUAUAAAUACUGGAUAAUGAAGACAUUGGCAGAGUCUUUACUCUGCACACCACUGCUGACCCCAGAUAUGACCCACAGGAACUACUGGCGAAAGGAGCAAAAAGGGGAAAAGAAUUAUCUUCCUGAUGGUCUUGUGUCCUCUGUGCUGGAUCUGCAGUUGUUUUCCGCCUGUAAACUCGCCUCUUGUUGGUCAAGCUUUUCGGCAUUUAUUCAAAUAAAAUUCUUAGGCACUCAGUUGAGAUUGGUAAUUUUUUUUGUUUUGCUUGGCAUAAGAACUGAAGAAAACGUGCCCAGAUCAGGGACCAGCCAACAUCCUCUUUAAUUGCAGCCAGCAGAAAUGAUGUGCUUUGGAU